rnacentral:rRNA from 1 species
GGCGGCGUGCCUAAUACAUGCAAGUCGAGCGAACCACUUCGGUGGGAAGCGGCGAACGGGUGAGUAACACGUAGGUAAUCUGCCCAUCAGACGGGGACAACGAUUGGAAACGAUCGCUAAUACCGGAUAGGACGAAAGUUUAAAGAUGCUCCUGGCAUCACUGAUGGAUGAGCCUGCGGCGCAUUAGCUAGUUGGUGGGGUAAAGGCUUACCAAGGCGACGAUGCAUAGCCGAGUUGAGAGACUGAUCGGCCACAUUGGGACUGAGACACGGCCCAAACUCCUACGGGAGGCAGCAGUAGGGAAUCUUCCACAAUGGGCGAAAGCCUGAUGGAGCAACGCCGCGUGAGUGAAGAAGGUUUUCGGAUCGUAAAGCUCUGUUGUUGGUGAAGAAGGAUAGAGGUAGUAACUGGCCCCUAUUUGACGGUAAUCAACCAGAAAGUCACGGCUAACUACGUGCCAGCAGCCGCGGUAAUACGUAGGUGGCAAGCGUUGUCCGGAUUUAUUGGGCGUAAAGCGAGCGCAGGCGGAAAGAUAAGUCUGAUGUGAAAGCCCCCGGCUUAACCGAGGAAUUGCAUCGGAAACUGUGUUUCUUGAGUGCAGAAGAGGAGAGUGGAACUCCAUGUGUAGCGGUGGAAUGCGUAGAUAUAUGGAAGAACACCAGUGGCGAAGGCGGCUCUCUGGUCUGUAACUGACGCUGAGGCUCGAAAGCAUGGGUAGCGAACAGGAUUAGAUACCCUGGUAGUCCAUGCCGUAAACGAUGAGUGCUAAGUGUUGGGAGGUUUCCGCCUCUCAGUGCUGCAGCUAACGCAUUAAGCACUCCGCCUGGGGAGUACGACCGCAAGGUUGAAACUCAAAGGAAUUGACGGGGGCCCGCACAAGCGGUGGAGCAUGUGGUUUAAUUCGAAGCAACGCGAAGAACCUUACCAGGUCUUGACAUCUAGUGCCAUCCUAAGAGAUUAGGAGUUCCCUUCGGGGACACUAAGACAGGUGGUGCAUGGCUGUCGUCAGCUCGUGUCGUGAGAUGUUGGGUUAAGUCCCGCAACGAGCGCAACCCUUGUUAUUAGUUGCCAGCAUUAAGUUGGGCACUCUAAUGAGACUGCCGGUGACAAACCGGAGGAAGGUGGGGAUGACGUCAAGUCAUCAUGCCCCUUAUGACCUGGGCUACACACGUGCUACAAUGGGCAGUACAACGAGAAGCGAGCCUGCGAAGGCAAGCGGAUCUCUUAAAGCUGUUCUCAGUUCGGACUGCAGUCUGCAACUCGACUGCACGAAGCUGGAAUCGCUAGUAAUCGCGGAUCAGCACGCCGCGGUGAAUACGUUCCCGGGC